GAUGAACGCUGGCGGCGUGCCUAAUACAUGCAAGUCGAGCGAACAGACGAGGAGCUUGCUCCUCUGACGUUAGCGGCGGACGGGUGAGUAACACGUGGAUAACCUACCUAUAAGACUGGGAUAACUUCGGGAAACCGGAGCUAAUACCGGAUAAUAUAUUGAACCGCAUGGUUCAAUAGUGAAAGACGGUUUUGCUGUCACUUAAAGAUGGAUCCGCGCCGCAUUAGCUAGUUGGUAAGGUAACGGCUUACCAAGGCAACGAUGCGUAGCCGACCUGAGAGGGUGAUCGGCCACACUGGAACUGAGACACGGUCCAGACUCCUACGGGAGGCAGCAGUAGGGAAUCUUCCGCAAUGGGCGAAAGCUUGACGGAGCCACGCCGCGUGAGUGAUGAAGGUCUUCGGAUCGUAAAACUCUGUUAUUAGGGAAGAACAAAUGUGUAAGUAACUAUGCACGUCUUGACGGUACCUAAUCAGAAAGCCACGGCUAACUACGUG
rnacentral:rRNA from 1 species